rnacentral:lncRNA from 1 species
AAACUGAUACUCAGUUUUAAGAAGAAUGGUAACUAUCUACUGAAAUUUAUGUUAAUUCAUAUAUAAAAUUUGAAGAUGUAGGCUUUGGUUCACUGGUAGAACAUUUGCUUGCCUAGCAAGGGUGAAGCUCUGGGUUUGAACUCAGGUACCACAUAUAUACAAAAGGAUGAUGCUGUGGAGCUAGAGAGAAUCACAGCACCCACAUGCUGGCUCACAACCAUCUGUAACUGCAGUUCUAGGGGAAUCCAACAUCUUCUGACCUCUGUGGGUACCAGGCACAAAUAUGUGCAUGGAAAUACAUGCAGUCAAAACACCUGCACAUAAAAUAAACAUUAAAAAAAAAAAGACAAUGAUGUAAAUGUACUGUUGACUCUCUUUCUACCUGCAUUUUUUUUUCUUUUGUCUGUGGCUGCUAAAAUUAUUCUCAUGUUUUAUUACAGUUAAACCCUGUGCAAAGAAUAUAGGGCUUGUGGCACCUUUGAUUGAUAGGAAUAAUAUAGACUGUUCACCAUUUUCUAACCAUUGUUCUUAUGAAGCAAUCUGAAGAGGAUGUGAGUCAGUUUGAUUCAAAGUUUACACGUCAGACACCUGUUGACAGCCCUGAUGACUCCACUCUCAGUGAAAGUGCCAACCAGGUCUUUCUGGUAAGUGAAAGAACUUAGGUCUCCAUGCAGCUGUAGGAAACCUCAGGUUGAUGCAGUGAGAAGUUUAUGUGGGAAGCUUGAAUGACUUUGCUUUUAAGCCAUUUCUUUGAUAACUUACUGGUAUCUACAAAUUGAUUUUCAUAAUCUUAACAUUCUGUUUUAGAAAUUACAGUGAGAAUGUUUGAAUCUUUGGAGUGAUUCAUGUUUGGUUGAGUGAUAGUAACUUAGAUGAUGUGUGGGUCAGCAUCACAAACAAAACCCAGCCAGAAUAGAUCUAUUUUAUUCCCAGAUAAUCAUCAUAAGGUAUGGAUACUAUGACCAGGCAGUGGUGAUACAUACCUUUGAUACCAGCACUCGGGAGGCAGAGAGCACUUGAGUUUGAGACCAGCCUGCUCUACAGAGUAAGAUCCAGGACAAUAAUAACAACAACAUUGUUGUUGUUGUUGUUGUUUGUUGGCAUAUUUGUUUAGCUCUUUUAUUUGGUUCUUAUACCUCUACCUCCCUUCCAACUCCCCAACACUAGGUAGGAGAGAAAGAAGGCUAGAGGGGAACGGGAGCAUAGACCUCUUUAGACUGCUUCCUGCUGAUUUAGGGAUGUCGCAUUCCUAGGUGCAAGUCCAGUCUCUCCAAACAGCAAUCCAGCAAAACAGCAGCAGCAGACCAACAAUUCAGCAAAUGUGACAGCAGGGACCAGUGGCAGUAGCUGCCUCAGGCCCUCUCAAGGUUCUCAAUUUAUACCCUCUCCAGAGUCCCCAGAAUUAAACCAUCUGCAGCUGGCAGAAAUCAUGCCCUCUUAGAGCACGAGACAAUCAUAGUUAACGACUUUAGACAAACUAAAGCAGCUCCAUAUCCCACACCUGGGAUUACAACAAAAACAUUGACACAACAUAAUUAGGUUUUCAAAGAAACCAAAAGUUUCACUACAAUGAUUUCUCUCAACCUGAUUCUGCAGAACAUUUGUAAUGUUAAUUAAUAUUUGAUAGCAGAAAUAUUGAUUCAUCUUUGAUAAUAAAUAAUUUCAUUGAAGAGGUGUCUGUGUGCUGUAUCUCUAGUCCAAAGUCUCUUUAGAAAUUAAUCUAAAAAUAGCGAGGGGUAUAGCUUAGCUGAGAGCACAUUCUUAACGUAAGUGUGGCCUAGAAUUUGGUCUCCAGAACAGUAAAAAAAUAAAUAAACCACUAAGAUCCCACUUACCUGUAUAUUUCAGUUUUAUUAACCUCAAGUUUAACAAAUAUUUAAUCUCCUGUGAUAAUAUCUCAUUAAAAAUUAAUGGAAAUAUUAAAAAUUAAAUAAAAUACAAGUUUGUCUUUAGCCCCCAGAACAGAGAGAAAUGGCCUCUGCAACCACAGUGUGGCCUGCAGAGCUGCACCUUCCUUUUGGGCUCCACCCAUAGUCUCGGGGACGAUGGUGCUACGGUGAUGCUUAGGCUCACUCAGCUGGUAACGCACAGGAAAAGCAUGCAGCAACAGGACUAAUGGCCGAACAAACAAACGUGCAGCAAGAAAGAGCUAGGCAGGAGCCUAAUAAAGAUGAUGGGAACUAAAACAACAGCAUGUGUGUACUGCACAGUGGAAUUUUCAUAAUGGUGGCACUUGGUCACCAAAAACAAAACAAAUGUGGCUCAAUGAUUAAUAUUGUAUUGCACUUUUGUAGUGGAACCCGGAUUUAGCUCCCAGCAACUAUGUUAGGUAGCUCAAAAUCGCAUGAAUACAGCUUCUAAGGAUCUGGGUGCCUCAUGUCCUCAGGCAUCUGCACUCAUAUACACAUACCUACAAACAUGUGCAUGCAUAUACAAAAUUAAAAAUAAAAUAUUAAAAAAUUGUACUAUUAUGGUGUAAAAGUGGGAAGAUUGCACAUGCUAAGUCAGAGAAUUCUAAUUUUGGCUUAGUUAUGAGCAACUAUUUCGGAAUAUUAAUCCUAACUGAUUUUAUAAAUAUAUGUGUGUAUGUAUAACAUAUAUCUAUACAAACAAUGGUAGCUGGCAGUGCACCAACUUAUGUUUAUCUUUAUAGUCAAUAUUUUAAUGUUCAAGCUACAUUUCCCCGCAGUUUUCUUUUCUUCCCUACUACUAACCAUGGGGUAAAAUUUUGUUAAUUAGCAUAUCAGACUUUAAAAAAAUAUAUAUAAAAAUGCCAGAUGUGGUAGUGCUCGCCUUUAAUUCCAGCACUUGCGGAGAUAGAGGCAGGUGGAUCUCUAUGAGUUCAAGGUCAGCCUGGUCUACAGACUAAGUUCUAGGACAGUCAGAGCUAUUCACAGAGAAACCCUAUCUC